GUGGCGAGAGGAUUCAGUCUGGGGCGGCGGACGCGGCAGGCCGGAAAUCAGAGCAGGGCUUCCCCGAGCGGGGGCCGUCCGGCCGCGCGGAGUACCGCAGCGCCCGACGCAUUUGACUCUCGUCCGAAGGACGCCGCAGCCGGUUGGGUAGUGCAAGCGCGACGGCCUGAGGGGCGGAAGAUGGCAGGUGGCCGGUGGCGCGCACCAUGCGUGCCGCCGGUUGUUAGCCGUUCCGCCAGUGGCYCGUCACCCGACCGAGGUGUCGCGAGGCCCCUAGUGGGCCCUUGGCGUCUCCUGUUCCUCCAGGACAGCGGGGCAGGGCGCCGCAGUUGGCUAUCGCCGUCCCGUUCGCACCCCCAAGGGUGGUCGGGCGAGCGUGCGCCUCCGUUUGCGGCGACGGACCCGUGCGGAGGUYGGAGGCUGGCGGCGAGUAGGUCGGUCACCCACCCGACCCGUCUUGAAACACGGACCAAGGAGUCUAACAUGUGCGCGAGUCAAUGGGUCUUGAACAGGCCCAGAGGCGCAACGAAAGCAAAGGUCGCGCACCACGCCGGCCGAGUUGGGAUCCCCGGCCCCGUGCCGGGGCGCACCAACGACCCGUCCUAUCCGGCUCGCCGGUUGGGCGGAGUAUGAGCGUACACGUUGGUACCCGAAAGAUGGUGAACUAUGCCCGGGCAGGACGAGGCCAGAGGAAACUCUGGUGGAGGUCCGCAGCGGUUCU
rnacentral:rRNA from 1 species